ACAUAGCAGGAGCAGGGCUGAGAGGACUGAGGUAUAGCCCUAUACUAAGCUACUAGUACCCCUGUGGGGCUGUAGCGCUGGUUCACAUAGCAGGAGCAGGGCUGAGAGGACUGAGGUAUAGCCCUAUACUAAGCUACUAGUACCCCUGUGGGGCUGUAGCGCUGGUUCACAUAGCAGGAGCAGGGCUGAGAGGACUGAGGUAUAGCCCUAUACUAAGCUACUAGUACCCCUGUGGGGCUGUAGCGCUGGUUCACAUAGCAGGAGCAGGGCUGAGAGGACUGAGGUAUAGCCCUAUACUAAGCUACUAGUACCCCUGUGGGGCUGUAGCGCUGGUUCACAUAGCAGGAGCAGGGCUGAGAGGACUGAGGUAUAGCCCUAUACUAAGCUACUAGUACCCCUGUGGGGCUGUAGCGCUGGUUCACAUAGCAGGAGCAGGGCUGAGAGGACUGAGGUAUAGCCCUAUACUAAGCUACUAGUACCCCUGUGGGGCUGUAGCGCUGGUUCACAUAGCAGGAGCAGGGCUGAGAGGACUGAGGUAUAGCCCUAUACUAAGCUACUAGUACCCCUGUGGGGCUGUAGCGCUGGUUCACAUAGCAGGAGCAGGGCUGAGAGGACUGAGGUAUAGCCCUAUACUAAGCUACUAGUACCCCUGUGGGGCUGUAGCGCUGGUUCACAUAGCAGGAGCAGGGCUGAGAGGACUGAGGUAUAGCCCUAUACUAAGCUACUAGUACCCCUGUGGGGCUGUAGCUCUGGUUCACAUAGCAGGAGCAAGGCUGAGAGGACUGAGGUAUAGCCCUAUACUAAGCUACUAGUACCCCUGUGGGGCUGUAGCUCUGGUUCACAUAGCAGGAGCAAGGCUGAGAGGACUGAGGUAUAGCCCUAUACUAAGCUACUAGUACCCCUGUGGGGCUGUAGCGCUGGUUCACAUAGCAGGAGCAAGGCUGAGAGGACUGAGGUAUAGCCCUAUACUAAGCUACUAGUACCCCUGUGGGGCUGUAGCGCUGGUUCACAUAGCAGGAGCAGGGCUGAGAGGACUGAGUUAUAGCCCUAUACUAAGCUACUAGUACCCCUGUGGGGCUGUAGCGCUGGUUCACAUAGCAGGAGCAAGGCUGAGAGGACUGAGGUAUAGCCCUAUACUAAGCUACGAGUACCCCUGUGGGGCUGUAGCGCUGGUUCACAUAGCAGGAGCAAGGCUGAGAGGACUGAGGUAUAGCCCUAUACUAAGCUACGAGUACCCCUGUGGGGCUGUAGCGCUGGUUCACAUAGCAGCAGCAGGGCUGAGAGGACUGAGGAUGCCUGGGAGAGUCGACAGGAGUGAGACAAUGACGGGAAAGCUGUGACAGCAUCACGGGCGGCGGCCUGGGUGAUAUAUGGCAGCCGCACGGCCAAAUUGCCUUCCGCGAGAACAGGAGAGGGGGGAGAGAGAAAGGGAGGGCCGAAC